rnacentral:rRNA from 1 species
CCUACGGGUGACAGCAGUGAGGAAUAUUGGUCAAUGGGCGCGAGCCUGAACCAGCCAAGUCGCGUGAGGGAAGACGGUCCUAUGGAUUGUAAACCUCUUUUGUCAGGGAGCAAAGCGCGCCACGUGUGGCGCUUUGCGCGGUCCUCACGGAAAAGCAUCGGCUAACUCCGUGCCAGCAGCCGCGGUAAUACGGAGGAUGCGAGCGUUAUCCGGGUUUAUUGGGUUUAAAGGGGGCGCAGGCGGAAUUUCAAGUCAGCGGUAAAAUUUCGGGGCUCAACCCCGGCGGGCCGUUGAAACUGGGGUUCUUGAGUGAGCGAGAAGUAGGCGGAAUGCGUGGUGUAGCGGUGAAAUGCAUAGAUAUCACGCAGAACUCCGAUUGCGAAGGCAGCAGACCGGCGCGCAACUGACGCUCAGGCACGAAAGCGUGGGGAUCGAACAGGAUUAGAUACCCUUGUAGUC